rnacentral:misc_RNA from 1 species
UCCGGUUUGUCACCGGCAGUCUGGCGUGAGUCCCCAACUCAAUGCUGGCAACACGCCACGGGGGUUGCGCUCGUUGCGGGACUUAACCCAACAUCUCACGACACGAGCUGACGACAGCCAUGCAGCACCUGGACACUCAGUUCCCUUGCGGGCACACCCACGUCUCUGCGGACUUCUGAGGGGUUCCAACCCAGGUAAGGUUCUGCGCGUUGCGUCGAAUUGAACCACAUGCUCCACCGCUUGUGCGGGUCCCCGUCAAUUCCUUUGAGUUUUAGCCUUGCGGCCGUACUCCCCAGGCGGGGUGCUUAACGCGUUAGCUUCGACACAGCCGGGGUCAAUACCGGCUACAUCUAGCACCCAUCGUUUACGGUGUGGACUAC